rnacentral:rRNA from 1 species
AGAGUUUGAUCAUGGCUCAGGAUGAACGCUGGCGGCGUGCCUAAUACAUGCAAGUCGAGCGAACCACUUCGGUGGGAAGCGGCGAACGGGUGAGUAACACGUAGGUAAUCUGCCCAUCAGACGGGGACAACGAUUGGAAACGAUCGCUAAUACCGGAUAGGACGAAAGUUUAAAGAUGCUCCUGGCAUCGCUGAUGGAUGAGCCUGCGGCGCAUUAGCUAGUUGGUAGGGUAAAGGCCUACCAAGGCGACGAUGCGUAGCCGACCUGAGAGGGUGAACGGCCACACUGGGACUGAGACACGGCCCAGACUCCUACGGGAGGCAGCAGUAGGGAAUCUUCGGCAAUGGGCGAAAGCCUGACCGAGCAACGCCGCGUGAAUGAAGAAGGCCUUCGGGUUGUAAAAUUCUGUUAUAAGGGAAGAAAGGUGAUAGGAGGAAAUGACUAUCAAUUGACGGUACCUUAUGAGAAAGCCACGGCUAACUACGUGCCAGCAGCCGCGGUAAUACGUAGGUGGCAAGCGUUAUCCGGAAUUAUUGGGCGUAAAGAGCGCGCAGGUGGUUAAUUAAGUCUGAUGUGAAAGCCCACGGCUUAACCGUGGAGGGUCAUUGGAAACUGGUUGACUUGAGUG